GGUCGACUGGUGUAGUGGUUUAUCACGUCUGUCUCACAGCAACGUAUAUCUUAGUAUAUGUGAGGUCACAGAAGGUCGCAGGUUCGAACCCUGCGUCGACCA
rnacentral:tRNA from 1 species